CCGUGUCUAGCCCUGCCCACCUGUUCUAAACUCCCAUUGUGUUCUAAGUGCUUUUUGUCUAGCCCUGCCCAUCACAGUCUGGCCCCGCCCACAGUAUUCUGGCCCUGCCCCCAUACUCCAAAGGCCUGUGUAUCCUUCCUUUAGUCCCCUUGUGUUCUCGCCCUACCUCUGUAUUUGACCUUCCACUUUCCUGAUUUAAUCCUGUCCCCCUCUCCUUGGUUCCGCCUCUGCAGCUCUAAAACCAUCCCUUCCCUCCCCCGCAGGGCCAUUCCAGUUUUAUCACCCACCUGGAUUGGGCCCAGGACAGCAGCUGCUUUGUCACCAACUCCGGGGACUAUGAGAUUCUGUACUGGGACCCGGCUACCUGUAAGCAGAUCACCAGUGCGGAUGCUGUGAGGAACAUGGAAUGGGCCACAGCUACUUGUGUCCUAGGGUUUGGGGUGUUUGGGAUCUGGUCUGAGGGGGCGGACGGCACUGAUAUCAACGCUGUGGCCCGCUCCCAUGAUGGAAAGUUGCUGGCUUCAGCUGAUGACUUUGGCAAAGUUCACCUGUUUAGCUACCCCUGCUGUCAGCCUCGAGCCCUCAGCCACAAGUACGGUGGACACAGCAGCCAUGUGACAAAUGUGGCCUUCUUGUGGGAUGACAGCAUGGCCCUGACCACAGGGGGCAAGGACACCAGUGUUCUACAGUGGCGGGUGGUCUGAU
rnacentral:sRNA from 1 species